AAAGAUUAAGCCAUGCAUGUCUAAGUAUAAGCAAUUAUACAGCGAAACUGCGAAUGGCUCAUUAUAUAAGUUAUCGUUUAUUUGAUAGUACCUUACUACUUGGAUAACCGUGGUAAUUCUAGAGCUAAUACAUGCUAAAAAUCCCGACUUACGAAGGGAUGUAUUUAUUAGAUUAAAAACCAAUGCCCUUCGGGGCUCACUGGUGAUUCAUAAUAACUUCUCGAAUCGCAUGGCCUUGCGCCGGCGAUGGUUCAUUCAAAUUUCUUCCCUAUCAACUUUCGAUGCUAGAGUAGUGUUCUAGCAUGGUUACAACGGGUAACGGAGGGUUAGGGCUCGACCCCGGAGAAGGAGCCUGAGAAACGGCUACUACAUCCAAGGAAGGCAGCAGGCGCGCAAAUUACCCAAUCCCGACACGGGGAGGUAGUGACGAUAAAUACUGAUACAGGGCUCUUUUGGGUCUUGUAAUUGGAAUGAGUACAAUUUAAAUCCCUUAACGAGGAACAAUUGGAGGGCAAGUCUGGUGCCAGCAGCCGCGGUAAUUCCAGCUCCAAUAGCGUAUAUUAAAGUUGUUGUGGUUAAAAAGCUCGUAGUAGAACCUUGGGCCUGGCUGGCCGGUCCGCCUCACCGCGUGCACUGGUCCGGCCGGGCCUUUCCCCCUGUGGAACCUCAUGCCCUUCACUGGGUGUGUGGGAAAACAGGACUUUUACUUUGAAAAAAUUAGAGUGCUCCAGGCAGGCCUAUGCUCGAAUACAUUAGCAUGGAAUAAUAGAAUAGGACGUGUGGUUCUAUUUUGUUGGUUUCUAGGACCGCCGUAAUGAUUAAUAGGGACAGUCGGGGGCAUCAGUAUUCAAUUGUCAGAGGUGAAAUUCUUGGAUUUAUUGAAGACUAACUACUGCGAAAGCAUUUGCCAAGGAUGUUUUCAUUUAUCAGGAACGAAAGUUAGGGGAUCGAAGACGAUCAGAUACCGUCGUAGUCUUAACCAUAAACUAUGCCGACUAGGGAUCGGACGAUGUUAUUUUUUGACUCGUUCGGCACCUUACGAGAAAUCAAAGUGCUUGGGCUCCAGGGGGAGUAUGGUCGCAAGGCUGA
rnacentral:rRNA from 1 species